rnacentral:lncRNA from 10 species
ACUGCAGCUCUCAGCUAGCUGAUCUUUAUAAGAGCUGUGAGACAGAUGCUCUUAUCAACUUCUUUGCCAAGUCAGCUUUUAAAGCAGUUCUCCACCAGCCUUUGAAGGUCAUCCGGGAAAUUCUAGUUAAUCAGACUGCCCAUAUGUUGGCAUGUUACCGGAAGAAUUGUGCAAGUCCUUCUGCAGCAAGCCAGGUGAGCUACCUAUUGCACAUAGAUGUUAAAGUGUUACAAACGACUACUCAUUUCUUCAGCACAUAGCUAUAGAAGGCUUAUGAUGUUGCAGGCACUUAGAUGCUGUUACAGUAAACAGUGUAGCUGAGAAGAUUAAGAAUGCAAUUUGGGGGGGCUG